GGGUUGUGAGGUUAAGCGACUAAGCGUACACGGUGGAUGCCCUGGCAGUCAGAGGCGAUGAAGGACGUGCUAAUCUGCGAUAAGCGUCGGUAAGGUGAUAUGAACCGUUAUAACCGGCGAUUUCCGAAUGGGGAAACCCAGUGUGAUUCGUCACACUAUCAUUAACUGAAUCCAUAGGUUAAUGAGGCGAACCGGGGGAACUGAAACAUCUAAGUACCCCGAGGAAAAGAAAUCAACCGAGAUUCCCCCAGUAGCGGCGAGCGAACGGGGAGCAGCCCAGAGCCUGAAUCAGUGUGUGUGUUAGUGGAAGCGUCUGGAAAGGCGCGCGAUACAGGGUGACAGCCCCGUACACAAAAAUGCACAUAUUGUGAGCUCGAUGAGUAGGGCGGGACACGUGGUAUCCUGUCUGAAUAUGGGGGGACCAUCCUCCAAGGCUAAAUACUCCUGACUGACCGAUAGUGAACCAGUACCGUGAGGGAAAGGCGAAAAGAACCCCGGCGAGGGGAGUGAAAAAGAACCUGAAACCGUGUACGUACAAGCAGUGGGAGCACGCUUAGGCGUGUGACUGCGUACCUUUUGUAUAAUGGGUCAGCGACUUAUAUUCUGUAGCAAGGUUAACCGAAUAGGGGAGCCGAAGGGAAACCGAGUCUUAACUGGGCGUUAAGUUGCAGGGUAUAGACCCGAAACCCGGUGAUCUAGCCAUGGGCAGGUUGAAGGUUGGGUAACACUAACUGGAGGACCGAACCGACUAAUGUUGAAAAAUUAGCGGAUGACUUGUGGCUGGGGGUGAAAGGCCAAUCAAACCGGGAGAUAGCUGGUUCUCCCCGAAAGCUAUUUAGGUAGCGCCUCGUGAAUUCAUCUCCGGGGGUAGAGCACUGUUUCGGCAAGGGGGUCAUCCCGACUUACCAACCCGAUGCAAACUGCGAAUACCGGAGAAUGUUAUCACGGGAGACACACGGCGGGUGCUAACGUCCGUCGUGAAGAGGGAAACAACCCAGACCGCCAGCUAAGGUCCCAAAGUCAUGGUUAAGUGGGAAACGAUGUGGGAAGGCCCAGACAGCCAGGAUGUUGGCUUAGAAGCAGCCAUCAUUUAAAGAAAGCGUAAUAGCUCACUGGUCGAGUCGGCCUGCGCGGAAGAUGUAACGGGGCUAAACCAUGCACCGAAGCUGCGGCAGCGACGCUUAUGCGUUGUUGGGUAGGGGAGCGUUCUGUAAGCCUGCGAAGGUGUACUGUGAGGUAUGCUGGAGGUAUCAGAAGUGCGAAUGCUGACAUAAGUAACGAUAAAGCGGGUGAAAAGCCCGCUCGCCGGAAGACCAAGGGUUCCUGUCCAACGUUAAUCGGGGCAGGGUGAGUCGACCCCUAAGGCGAGGCCGAAAGGCGUAGUCGAUGGGAAACAGGUUAAUAUUCCUGUACUUGGUGUUACUGCGAAGGGGGGACGGAGAAGGCUAUGUUGGCCGGGCGACGGUUGUCCCGGUUUAAGCGUGUAGGCUGGUUUUCCAGGCAAAUCCGGAAAAUCAAGGCUGAGGCGUGAUGACGAGGCACUACGGUGCUGAAGCAACAAAUGCCCUGCUUCCAGGAAAAGCCUCUAAGCAUCAGGUAACAUCAAAUCGUACCCCAAACCGACACAGGUGGUCAGGUAGAGAAUACCAAGGCGCUUGAGAGAACUCGGGUGAAGGAACUAGGCAAAAUGGUGCCGUAACUUCGGGAGAAGGCACGCUGAUAUGUAGGUGAAGUCCCUCGCGGAUGGAGCUGAAAUCAGUCGAAGAUACCAGCUGGCUGCAACUGUUUAUUAAAAACACAGCACUGUGCAAACACGAAAGUGGACGUAUACGGUGUGACGCCUGCCCGGUGCCGGAAGGUUAAUUGAUGGGGUCAGCGCAAGCGAAGCUCUUGAUCGAAGCCCCGGUAAACGGCGGCCGUAACUAUAACGGUCCUAAGGUAGCGAAAUUCCUUGUCGGGUAAGUUCCGACCUGCACGAAUGGCGUAAUGAUGGCCAGGCUGUCUCCACCCGAGACUCAGUGAAAUUGAACUCGCUGUGAAGAUGCAGUGUACCCGCGGCAAGACGGAAAGACCCCGUGAACCUUUACUAUAGCUUGACACUGAACAUUGAGCCUUGAUGUGUAGGAUAGGUGGGAGGCUUUGAAGUGUGGACGCCAGUCUGCAUGGAGCCGACCUUGAAAUACCACCCUUUAAUGUUUGAUGUUCUAACGUUGACCCGUGAUCCGGGUUGCGGACAGUGUCUGGUGGGUAGUUUGACUGGGGCGGUCUCCUCCUAAAGAGUAACGGAGGAGCACGAAGGUUGGCUAAUCCUGGUCGGACAUCAGGAGGUUAGUGCAAUGGCAUAAGCCAGCUUGACUGCGAGCGUGACGGCGCGAGCAGGUGCGAAAGCAGGUCAUAGUGAUCCGGUGGUUCUGAAUGGAAGGGCCAUCGCUCAACGGAUAAAAGGUACUCCGGGGAUAACAGGCUGAUACCGCCCAAGAGUUCAUAUCGACGGCGGUGUUUGGCACCUCGAUGUCGGCUCAUCACAUCCUGGGGCUGAAGUAGGUCCCAAGGGUAUGGCUGUUCGCCAUUUAAAGUGGUACGCGAGCUGGGUUUAGAACGUCGUGAGACAGUUCGGUCCCUAUCUGCCGUGGGCGCUGGAGAACUGAGGGGGGCUGCUCCUAGUACGAGAGGACCGGAGUGGACGCAUCACUGGUGUUCGGGUUGUCAUGCCAAUGGCACUGCCCGGUAGCUAAAUGCGGAAGAGAUAAGUGCUGAAAGCAUCUAAGCACGAAACUUGCCCCGAGAUGAGUUCUCCCUGACCCUUUAAGGGUCCUGAAGGAACGUUGAAGACGACGACGUUGAUAGGCCGGGUGUGUAAGCGCAGCGAUGCGUUGAGCUAACCGGUACUAAUGAACCGUGAGGCUUAACCUUACAACGCCGAAGGUGUUU
rnacentral:rRNA from 1 species